rnacentral:rRNA from 1 species
GAUACGAGUUUGAUCAUGGCUCAGAACGAACGCUGGCGGCGCGCCUAACACAUGCAAGUCGAACGAGAAUCCGGGGCAACCCGGUAGUAAAGUGGCAAACGGGUGAGGAAUACAUGGGUAACCUACCCUUGAGAAGGGAAUAACCCGCCGAAAGGUGAGCUAAUACCCUAUACGCUAUCUUUUUUUCGAAAAGGAUAGGAAAGCCGGGUCGAGGACCUGGUACUCAAGGAGGGGCUCAUGUCCUAUCAGCUUGUUGGUGGGGUAACGGCCUACCAAGGCUACGACGGGUAGCUGGUCUGAGAGGAUGAUCAGCCACACUGGCACUGAGAUACGGGCCAGACUCCUACGGGAGGCAGCAGUGAGGAAUAUUGCGCAAUGGGCGAAAGCCUGACGCAGCGACGCCGCGUGGGGGAUGAAGGUUUUCGGAUUGUAAACCCUUUCAUGAGAAAGAUAAGUGGGUAACACUUAGACGGUACCUCAAGAAGAAGACCACGGCUAACUUCGUG